AAUGCAUACUCAUCCUGGUGCUACCGAAUUAUUGAUAAUAGUUCAAGGUGAAAUAACCGCUGGAUUUCUGACACCUACCGCAGUUUAUUCUAAGACGUUGAAACCGGGUGAUCUUAUGGUUUUUCCACAAGGGAUGUUGCAUUUUCAAAUUAACACUGGUAAGGGAAAAGCAACUGCUUUUCUUACUUUUAGUAGUGCUAACCCUGGUGCUCAAUUACUUGAUCUUCUUUUGUUUUCGAAUAAUUUACCUUCUCAAUUGGUGGCACAAACUACUUUCCUUGAUCUUGCACAAGUGCAGAAGCUAAAGGCACGUUUUGGUGGAAGAGGGUAGGGAUAUGAUAUUGUUUGGUCAUGAUCAUAACCCACUCUCCUUGUGUAAAUGUUUAUUCCAAUAAUCACCUAGUGGUGGAUUUGAUUGUGUGUCUGUGUUAUUUUAUUUUAUUCUAUGUUUUAGCUAUUCCAAAUGUUAUGAUAUAUGGUUACUUGUGAUAAUGAAGUAAUAAAUUGUGUGUGAUACAUUUCUUGGUUCCUCUUUCUAUCUCUCAACCUGUCUCCUAAUUUUUUUGUUGAAUUAUGGCAACAUUUAAAAUUGAAUUGAAGAUUGAAUGAGCACGACCUGGAGAUUAUGAUUUAAUUAGCUCAAUCACUUGAAUCACAAUUGAACUAAAUGAUUAAUCUAUAAAUAAAAAAAGUAAUUGCAAAAACAAAUCUUAUUAAAUUAUUACGAUUCAAUCGGUUCAACCUUAUUCAAAAUGACUUCGAUGCGACUAUGAUUUCUAACCCAUUUUAUUUUAGAUUUAACUAGUUGAACUAAUAAUUUAAUAGAAUAUGCAACUUAGACUUAUUUACCAUUUUUGGGUGUUAGAAGUUAGAAAAUUUUACAUGAUGUGGAUAACAUCACAAUACAAUUCAAAGUAGUGGGCUAUAAUUUAUGAGAAAUGAUAUUUGAACAAUAAUUUUUAACAACUUUUGUGACAACUUUAUCUCUCAUACUCACAUUAAUUUUUUACUCUCUCUCUAUUGCUUUGGUUUUUGUGUCACUAUCUCAUUUCUUUUGCAAAAUUUUGAUUGUCACAAAAGUUGUCACAUGUAUGGAUGUUCAUAUAACACAACUCAUAAUUUAUUCAUUAAAACCUUACUUAUAUAUCAACAAGCAAAACUAGGCGUAAGACGAUUGAGUCAGCCUCUACUUGGUAGUUGGUUCUAAUCUCAUUGCCAUUGCUUCGGUGCAUCAACCUCGAGAGUGUGGAAACGGUAAAUUGGUUUGCGAGUACUGAUUCGCGGUAUUUUAAUGAAUUUGUUUGCGCAAAAUCGUGAGCAAUUCAUAGCAAAGUGCGUACGUGACAGAAGUAUAAAACAAAUCAAACAAGUUUAAUUCAAAUUUCACAUAUUGUAUGUCAAACACAAUAAAUAUCUGACCAACUUGAUAGAAGAGCUCAUCUGCCAUGAACAUGCAGCAACCAUUAGUGCAAACUGUAAAAUUAGGUCAUAGAAAAUUCAAGGCUAAAAUAUGGUUUUAGUCCCUGCAAAUAUGUCUCGUUUUGGUUUUAGUCUCUGUAAAAAGAAAAUUUUGUUUUUGGUCCCUGCUAAAUAAUUUGUUUUUGAAAAUAGUCCCUAGCCCCACUUUUGUGAUGAUUUGCAUACGUGUUACAUUAUAACUGAACCAAUUUUGUAGUUUUUGGUCCCUGCAAAAUAUUUUGUUUUUAAAAAAGGUCCUUGAAUUUUUUUUUUGUUUUUGAAAUUUUUUGCAGGGACCAAAAACAAAAAAUUUUGUUUACAGGGACUAAAACCAAAACGAGGCAUAUUUGCAGGGGCUAAAACCAUAUUUUAGCCAAAAUUCAAAUGCAUAGUAGUGUGUACCACUACCAACCUGGAUGUUGUGCAGGGGCAGCUAAGAAGCUUAUAGUAAAAUGGUCAUAUAGAGAUUAAGGUUCUUGUAUAUGCAAAAACAAUGAUUAUAAAGAGUCAUAUAUUAUAUAUAGGCUUAAAUAAGUAAAAGGUCUCUGUAAGUUGGCGCAUUUUUGGUUUUAGUCCCUGUAAGUUUUUUUGUUGCGAGACAAACCCUGUAUUUACCAAACGUUUUGGAUCUAGUCCCUGCCGUCCAAUUCCGUGAAAAAAUGAUGACCUUGCUAACGGAGCAAUACGUGGCACUUCGUGAGUUGGCACUAGUUGAUGACUGGGGUUAAUAUAGGGACUAAAACCAAAAAUGCAAUUUAACAUAGGGACUAAUUUAAAAAAACGUAAUCAUCAAUUUUUAAAUUUUAAAAACCAGUCUUUCCUUCUUCUUCCUCUCUCUGUUCUUUCCUUCUUCUUCCUCUAUUUGUUAGUUCUUUAAUUGCUUGUGCCCAAAAACUCAAACCUCAUUUCCUUCAACGAUGUCUUCUCAUUCCAUUUCUCAUUCAUCAUCAAAUGAGUUGCCUAUAAGUGCCAAUUACUUCUUUAAGUUCUGCUUCAUUUGUUCCUCCUUGAGUCUCCAAAAGCAAAUCAGUGAUAAUUACUUCCAUUUGUUUCCCCUCGCGCACCUUAAUCUUAGCCCAUCCAACCAAGUUUGUGUCACCAAAAUCCUCCUUAUCACCAGGCCUUUUCCCAUUAAGAAGUUCCAUCAUUACAACACCAAAUGAAUAAACAUCACCCUUUGCAGUGCACCUGAAACUUUGGUAAUACUUUGGUGGAACAUAUCCAGGUGUUCCUGCUAGUGUGCUUACACUGAGAUGUGUAUCAAGUGCACUUAUUAGUCUUGCCAUUCCGAAAUCCAAGACUCUUGACUCCAUUUCAUUGUCAAGUAAUACAUUGCUUGACUUCAUGUCUUUGUGUAUGAUGUGAGGGAUGCAAUUAUGAUGCAGAAAACAAAGUCCUUUAGCAGCACCUCUUGCAAUCUUCUUCCUUUCUUCCCAUGUUAAAAUUCGUCGAUCACAUGUCUUUAUUCUUCUGUGGAGCAUCUCUUCUAGGCUUCCAUAUUCCAUGUAUUCAUAAACAAGUAGCCUCUCUUCUCCUACUUUGCAGUAUCCCAAUAAAGGGACAAGGUUUUUAUACUUGAUUUUUUCUAAGGUUUCCAUCUUAGCCAUGAAUUCUCUAUCACCUUGGCAACUCAGUCGAAUGAGCUUCUUUAUCGCGACACAUGUUCCGUCUUUGAGUGUGGCCUUAAACACUUCACCAAAACCACCACAACCAAUGAGGCUUGCUGCUGAGAAGCCAUUGGUUGCUUCAAUCAACUGUGAGAAUUUAAGCUUUCUCAAUUACCUCUGAAAUGUUGCAAUAUUAAUGCAUAAUGGCUCUUUCUCUUUAUCAAUUUUCCAUGUUGUAGCAGCAUGACAUGCGAAUUGGAGAUGAACAUCCUCAUAAUUUUUCUACAACCACAUAUUGACAACUCAUUUGAUGAUGAUUGACAAAUGGAAUGAGAAUACAUUGUUCCAUGAAAUGAGUUUUUGGUGUUAGGGCGCAAAGCUAUCGAAGGGUGGGAAUGGCAGAAAUGAAGAAGAGAGAAAUAACAUAGUGAGGAAGAAGGUGGAAAUAAUAAGUUUUAAAAUUCAAAUUUUGAUGAUUAUGUUUUUUAUUUUCAUCCCUAUGUAAAUUUGCAUUUUUGGUUUUAGUCUCUCUAAUAACCAAUUGCCAACUCAUCAUAUGCCACAUAUUAGUCCGUUAGCCAGCGAAGCGUUUUUUUGACGGAAACGGACGGCGGGGACGAAUGUCAAAAUGUUAAGUAAAUACAGGGGUUGUUUCGCAACAAAAAAAGAUACAGGAACUAAAACAAAAAAUGCGCGAACUUACAGGGACCUUUUUCUUAUUUAAGCCUUAUAUAUAUAUUGUUCAUCUUCAAAAUGUCACGACGACAACGUAAAUUAAUGCGGCACUGCAAAAAUAAUAUCACUAAACACAAACUGAAACAAAUUUCUAGGGAGAUAUUCCUGAUGGCAGUUGCAUCGUUCAAGACAGAAGUAAUUGUUCUUUAACUUAUUUUCUAAAUACGCAUACAAUUGUAAAACACAGUCAAAUUUUAUUGAGUGAAAUUAUGGUUGGAACGUGAUGGAGAUUUCCAUUCCUCCAAUUCUCUUCGUACACCUCUCUUGUUGUACCCAAUUUCUUCGAAGGCCUUUAGGGAUGGUGCUGUUCGUUCAACGGUGUUACUGCCAAUACAAAAGAUUAACAGUGUUCAAUAAAAUCCUAUAUGUUAGGAAACAAAGUGCUGAAGAAGAAAAAUAAGCACAAUCACAAUAUAAGAAUAUAAUGUUAGGAAACAUGGUAUCCAUGAAAAGAAGGAGAGAAAACUAAGAAACUCUUUCUAUUGAUGAAAAUGGAAUAUUACAAAAUGAGAAAAGUACCCUCUAAUGGGGUGGUUACAAGUUAUUUAUACUACUCUCUACUAGGACUAAUAUGCUACUAAUCUAUAUCUCUAAUAGUCCCCCUCAAGUUGGAAGGUGUUCAAAACACUUCCAACUUGAAAUGAGAAAAUACAAGGAAAGAUGCCAGAAAUACAUUGGCCAAGAACAUAGCAACAAUCAAAGGCUUAUCCAACAAGAGGAAACCACAACUCAAGGUGUAAUCACCUUGGAGGAAGAAGCAGCAAACCAACGCUUAACCACCAUCCGGUAGAAGCCAAUCAUCAACAAAGCCUUAAAAGGCACAAUGCUUAACCAUCAAGAGUUCUCAAUAACUCAAGACAGAAGCACAAGAAGAAGAAGAAAAUGACGCUUAACCAUCCUUGGACAGAAGCACAACGACGCUUAACCAUUCAUGACAGAAGCUUAUCAACAUAGCUUAACCAUCAUGAACAGAAGCACAAGACAAGAAGAGUAAGGAUAUCUAAAAUCAAUGAUGAUCUCCAAAAGAAAAAGUGCAAGGAAGGGCCAAAGUUUACAAUGGAAGGAGGUCAUAUGUUGAACAAACUGCACAUCAAAGGUACCAUGAAGCAACAAGACCAAGGUUCCAAAGUUAAAAAAGAGAUGCGCUCCAAUGCCGAGCCGAGACAAGAAAAACCAAAUGCAAGCCAAUAGAGAUGCAUAGCCAUGUGAGGUGUCUUCAAACCAUAGAAAACAAAUCCAUGUUGAUGCAUUCAAACCAUAGGCCAACAAAUCAAUACUUCCAACAAUGAAGCUUAAGAAAAUACCAACAUAGCCAAAACCAGAAAAAAAAAAAUGCAGCAGUAAUGCUGCACAAAAUAAAACCAAAAUGCAGCUAAGAGACAUCAAAAUGAACUCAAGAAGAUGCUUUAACGGUCUGCCCAAAAAUUCAUCAACGAUCCAGGAACAAUCCCAUGCUUCAGAUAUCAAACCAAGGCUUCCAAAAACGAUCCUAAGCCAUCAAGAAAUAAAUCCAUAGCCAAUGAACAAAAUGCAGUAGCAAUAUGAAGCACUGUACUGUGUUGGAAUAGCAUGCAACACUAACAAAAUGCCUAAUCAGCCUCACAAUUUCAUUUGUUCCUUUCACACACAAGAAUAUAGAGAAACCAUCUGAACAGCUUGGAGUGUACUAAAGGCUUCUUCAAUUACUAUUCAAAAAAUGCUUGACCAUAUCAGAUCCAACACCAUGAUAAGCAAUCAAAUGCCAAACAAAACUUAGCCCACCAGUAUGCAAUAUCUAUAAGACUACCAAGUGUGAUAGCAACACCAUAAAAGAAACAAAGAAGUAUGCCAAAACCAAUGAUAUCCAAAGAGAAUGUAGAACAAACAACCAAGCUGUAAUUGGAUCCCAAAGAAUGCAUCAAAAAAACUAUACGUGAAAGGAAGAUCCUUACAUAACACUGCAACAACAUAGCCAUACACAUAAGUCUGGGUCCGCCAAUCUUCAAUCAUAAUAUAAGAGUACCUUAACAUGAACUGCUCCAAAAAUGUAGUAGUGAUGAAGAGGUUCACAAGAAAAUGCACGCAUAGACCAAUAACGUCAUGCAGCAGUCAACAACAGCACCUCAAAGCAAGUCCAAUGCAAUGUUGGAUCAGAACAAAUUGCAGUGUUACCAACAACCAUCACCAUCAAACUGAACGUAAUAUGCAAUAAGGACCAAAAAACACCAAAAUAUCAAGGUAAUAGAAUCCAACUCUAUCUGCACCACAUGCACAAUUGUAUACAACCAGAGAAAAUGAACUAAUUGCAGCCUUGUCUAAAUAGCAGAACAUAGAACUUCAUCAAAAGAAUCAUGAACCAAGAAUCAAUAUGUUUGCAGUGAGGACUUGCUACAAACAUCUUGUGAGCACAAUAGUCAUAAACUGCAGUUACAAUAAAACUCGCUUAUGAGAAACCGAAUUCUCAAUACAAUACAAUAAUGAAACAGGGAAGAAGAUGAAAUAUCAACGACACAUAGAAUCAAUGCGAAAAAGACGACUCUGAGCCGAAUCGAAAAUUUUAAUGAAGAGGAAUCGCAAAAAAAAAUAAAAUUGAAUCACGGAUUCGAAUCGAAACUGGAAAUUGCGAUCGAGUAAGAAUUCGAUCAAGACUUUUGAAUCACGUGGGAAAUUGAACCAAAACUAACAGAACAAAGAAGAACGAACAAAGAAAAUUGAUCGAGAGAGAAAAGGAAAUCGCCAUUGUAACUGAAUCGCAAACCCUAAGAUUUGGGAAAAAGACACAAACGGAAUCACGAAGCAAUCGAUCGAACAAAAAGAUGUAAAAGAAUCGAAUGAAAUUGAGAUGCAGAUCAAAAGAGAAAUCGAUCGAACAAAUCAAUAACAGAAAAACGAUUCGAGUACAAGACAAAGGAAAAUGAAGAAAAUGAAGUGAUAAAAGAGAAAAAUCAGAACGAAGAAGAAAAGGAAAACAACACGAGAAAAAUGAACUUUUCUCGAGAAAAUGCAGCGGAAAAAUUGUUCAAGGUGGAUACCAAUCAUGCUCUGAUACCAUGUUAGGAAACAUGGUAUCCAUGGAAAGAAGGAGAGAAAACUAAGAAACUCUUUCUAUUGAUGAAAAUGGAAUAUUACAAAAUGAGAAAAGUACCCUCUAAUGGGGUGGUUACAAGUUAUUUAUACUACUCUCUACUAGGACUAAUAUGCUAAUAAUCUAUAUCUCUAAUAUAUAACGUGGAAACUUUAAAACUGGAUAAAAAACCACGACCGUUGUCUAAACCGACAACCAGAAAAUGAUUACUAUGGGAUUUUUUUUACAACACAUAGACUUCUCUCACUCUCACCCCAAUGCUCCAGUACAAUCAUACUCUCACAAAGCAAAUAUUUAAACUAAGUCAGAUAUAAGCUUAAAGUGCUACUGACUGGUGCAUCUACAAACAAAGAACCUAGGUCCAAUAUAUAGUCAUGGUCCUCCCAUUGCUUCACCACACUAAGCGAUGUAGGACUUUUCCAAUAGCAAAUAUUUUUUAACCUCCUUAUUUAUUUAAGAAACUUGACAAUCAAACCCAACAAUCUCCACCUUGAUUGUACGAGUUUCAUCUUUCGCUUCCAUUGUUUAUACUGACAAUCAUACUCCACCAUAAAGAGUAUACUUCACUUGAAACUAGACCUUUCCAAGAAUUUCUCCACGUCAAAACCUUGCUGAAAGAUUACGGUGCAACUCCCAUGUUGGAUUUCAGGAAGUUCUUCAGCCAUCGACACAUCUCACCACACACCUUGCAUUAAUUAAUUUCUUAAACAAUUUAUAAUUAAUUUGUAUCUCGUUUAAAGACUACAAAAUUUCAUUGUGAAGGUUCUUAUCAUGUUCUAGUCAUGCCUACAAAAUUAGGGAACUAAAUUUGACUUGUGAGUAUACGCUUACGCGGAACAAAAUUUCAAUUUUGCAUGUUUUGAUUGAAAAAUCAAAAUAAAUUUAAACGACUUCGAAAUGCAAUGAAACUUUACAGAUCCGUUUUAUGUAUUUUUUUAUAGAUGUCUAUGCAAAUAAUGAGCUCAAAAUUCGAUUUAUAGGUCGAGAUUUCCAUUGUUUUGUUUUUUGAGCUUUUGACACUUUAAAAAUUCAUAAUUAAUUUGUCGUAUGUCGAAAAUUUAUAUAUUUUUAGUGUAAAGCCAUAUUUUAACAUUCUUAACUCGCCUCUAACAAAUCAUGAAAAAAAUUGAAUCUCUCGGUUUCUUUUUUGGACUUCGCAUAUAUUACAGAGUUAUAAAUAAUAAAAAUCUUGAGUUACAUGGUAAGAAUACAUGUUAUUUAAUUACAGGGCCAAUUUUCAGACUUCACGUAUAUUAUAUGAUCAAUUUCAAUUAAUAAUCUUAUUUUAAAUUGUACUUUUGUUGACUAAAUGAUAAAACCUAUUUUAUUUCGAUUUUUUUAAUUAAAAUUAAAAUUAAAAAAAAAGUUUCAAUUUAUGAUUGUUGAUAUAUUAUGUCGCAUGUGAAUUUGCGAUAAAUUUUUUGCCCAAUCUCCAUAAAUUUCCAGACUCCGCCACUGUAUAGUACCUACUCAAAGAAUACUUGUUAUCAUCCCUAAUUGUGCGCUAACACUCCUCAAUUCAAAAUGACAUAAUAGCAUGCUUGUUGAGGAAAAAUUAUUGCCUUUAUUAUAACAAAAUUAGUUAAUUUUUUUUUUGAGGAAAACUGAAUUAGUUAGUGAAAAUUAAGUAAAAGACUAUGAAGAUAAUUUAAAUUUAUACAAAUCGUCACUUGACCAAUCUUAUUGCAAUAAAUUAAUAAAACGUCAUUUCAAAAAGAUUUGUGGCUGAUCCUUAAAAAAUAAAAUCAUUCCGUGACAAUUUUUUUUAUUCUUUUUCAAAUCUUUACUCUAAAUCUUCAUCUGUCACACACAACUAACUCAAACAUCCAUAGACGUGCAAUCAAUCUCAAUGAAAGAUUAGACUACAGGGUCUUUUAUUAAUACUCUUUGUGUACACAAAUUGAAUUCACUUAAAUGUUGUUUAAAAUUCUAAUUUUAGAGUUUACAUGAAAUGAAAGAACAUAUGUUGACUCACUUAUUGUAACCUUACAUGAAAUAAGACAACAUAUAUGUAUGCAUUGUUUUAAAAACAUUGAAGAUAAACUGAAUUUACGUAGGGUAUAUAAACUGAGUUUGCAAAUUAUACAACUCUACGUAAAUUAAGAUAGAGAAUGGAGAGAGAAAAAGGAAGAUAGAGAAUAAGAAGAUAAUGUGAGUAUGAGAGAGAAAGUUGUUAAAAUGUUUUUUUAAAGAAAAAAGUUGUUAAAAUGUUGUCACAAAGUGGAUGUACAAAUAUCAUUUCUCUAUAUAAAAUAUACAAAAUAUAUGGAGGAUUAUUGAUAAAAAAAAACAUGGGGAUUAAUUAUUGCUAAGAAUAAAUUAUUUUGAAAUACUCCCCUAUUUUUUUUUUUAAAUUCUCUUGACCAAAUUUUUCUUUUUUUAAAAUUCAUUGAAAUAAACCAAAAACAAAUACUCCAUUUCUAACAAAAAUAUAGACAUAAAGAGGAUCAAAGCGUCAAAUAGUCUUGCCCUCAAUUUUUUUUACUUUUAGAACAUCUUUUGUUUAUGUUUUCGUUACAAAGAGUAUGCAAAAUUAGACUGACUUAUUUUAAUUCAUUUAUAUAUAAUAUAUGGUAGUAUUUGUGAUAAUGUUUGUUAGAACCUAUGAAAAUAAUUUAUAACAUCUAAGUUUAGUUCCAUAAUUUUACAGAAUAGUUUAUAGAAACAACUUAAAAAUAUAUUAAAUAUAAAUGUUUUUUUUUUGUUUUAAAAAAGUAUAUAGAAAUAUUUAUAUUGAUAAGCUUAUAAUAUAUAUAUAUUAUGAAGUAAAAACAUCCUUUGUAUAUUAUAAACGAUUAAUUAUUUUGUUUAUUCAAAUAUGACCUCCUAUAUUAUUUUUUUUUUUGUUGGAAAGACGUCUAAAAACUAAUCAUUUUUGGUGGUGGUCGGGGUUCAACCCAGUAUAUAUUAUGCAUUGUUCCUACCCACUGAGCUAAGCUCAUGAUGACCCAAAAACCAAUCAUUGAUACACGAUAUAUAUAUAUAUAUAUAUAUAUAUAUAUAUAUAUAUUGACAAAAAUAAAUGAUAUGCAUUCAUUCAAAUUGAUAGAGUUCAUCGAUACAAUACUAAUUCGAUAAAAAGAAAAAGAAUGAAUUUGCGAACAAACUCAUAACAUCCAUGUUAAUAUCAUAAAACAACAAAGUACAAAAACAUACUUAUAUGACUAUAUUCAAGUAUCCGGAAUACCCAUGUCUCUAGAUCUGCAACGUGGACGACGCAAAGUCAUAGAUUGAAUCUGCACUGGUCGAAGCGGAUAUGACAAUCUAAACCGAACAAAUACCUGCAUGAAACAAAUAAGACAAACAAUGUUGCACAAAGACGACGAACAAACCAAUGUCGCACUAUGACGGCGAAAUCACAAAAUAAAAAACAAAAUAGAUGUGAAAAUCACUUAUUUCAAUUAAAAGAAAAUAAAAAAGCGAGUUAGAUGGGUGAUUUAGGGUUAAAAACUGACUCUAAAACACCUCUACUUGAUAGAUGAGGGAGAAGAAACUAGAGUUUUGGUGACGGCUCACAAGAAAGAAAAAGAAAAGAGAAAUUUAUAUAACGAUAUAGGUAUCUCUAAGUAAAUUUGUUAAAAAAAAAAAGUGUCACUAAGUAAAACAUAGAUAAAAUAAAGAGAACCAAUAUGGAAAUAUAUAAAAAAAUGCAAACAAAUAGAAGACUAUAGAUAUGUUAAAUAAAUUUUUAGUUAUAAUUUAUUAAAUAAAAAUUUUAUUAAUUUAAUUUGUCAAAAAUAAAACCUUAUUAAUUUAAAUUGACUAAAAAAUGAGUGAUAAUGUGUCAACAAAAUUCACUAGAAUCCCUAGUCGUCACCCAUUUCUUCUUCUUGUCUAUUGAAGAUGAAUGAUUUAGGGUCAAUUCUAACCUAAAAUCACCCAUCCGAAUUGUUUUUCUUUCUUUUCUAGUUGAAUAAGUGAUUUCCAUAUAUUUUUUUAUUGUUCUUUCGUUUGUUUUUGUGAUUUCAUCGUCUUUGCAUGACUCUGUUUAUUUUGAUUUUCCAUCUUAAUGUCGUGUUUAUUUGAUUGAGGUUGAAAUAUUAGCUUUGAUUAGGUGCAAAUCCGAAGACAUGAGUAUUCCAGAGAUUUGAAUAUAGUCAGGUUUGUAGGCAUAAAUACUUUGCAGUUUUAUGUUAACAUGAAUGUUGUGAUUUAUCCUUUUUGUUUUUAGAGACUUUAAAUUUAUAUUAUAUCGAUAUACUCUAUAAAUUAAAAUGAAUGAAUAUCGUUUAUUUUUUUUAAAAAAAGUCAGCAGAAUUAAAAUACUAUGAUUUGCUAAUUUGCUCAUUCACCUAUAUUGUUUAGUUGGUUUAUAUUAGUAAGUUGGAAUAUAUUAUUAUCCAUGAGAUCAUAUGGUUUACGUACUGAUUUAUCUUAUAUUAUUUUUUUUGAAAUAAUUUACAUUAUAUUACUAAAAAAAUGGAAUCGUAUUGGUGGCAUAUGAACUGGGACCGUCAUUGCUGUAUUAUCAUUGCUAUAUGUAGUUUUUAUUUCAUAUGCUUGGGCCUAUAUUAUAUGGUCAGACUGUAUUAUAUUUGGAUCUUCUUACAGGUAAGCUGACUUUUAUAAAAUUUGAAUCAUUAAGAAGGUAACGUUUUCCAUAGGACAAACAUGAGUUACUAUAAUUAGACAUUAUCAUUCCUUUGUUUUUUUCGGAUAAUUUUUUAUAAAUUCUUCUUAUUUCACAUAUAAUAUUUUUUACAUUUCCCUCCCUCUCUACCUCCCUAUAAAUAGCUUGCCAAUUCCAUCGUUUCCUCAUACCAAGUUCAAUAAUCAAAAAUCAUCAUCCAAUAAUAAGAUGAAGAUUAUUCACAUAGUUUUUCUUUUCUUUUUUCUUUCAUUCACUACUUCCCAAGCUUCUGUCAAUGAUUUUUGUGUAGCAGAUUUAAAGGCUCCAGAUACCCCUUCAGGCUAUCAGUGCAAACCCCUAGCAAAUAUCACAUCAGACGAUUUUGUCUUUCAUGGCUUCGUAGCCGGAAACACCAACAACUCUUUCAACGCUGCACUUACCUCCGCAUUCGUCACUGAAUUUCCAGGCCUUAACGGACUAGGAAUCUCAGCAGCGCGGUUAGACAUAGCCGAAAAUGGUUCAAUUCCAAUGCAUACUCAUCCCGGUGCUACCGAAUUAUUGAUAAUAGUUCAAGGUGAAAUAACCGCUGGAUUUCUGACACCUACCUCAGUUUAUUCUAAGACGUUGAAACCGGGUGAUCUUAUGGUUUUUCCACAGGGGAUGUUGCAUUUUCAAAUUAACACUGGUAAGGGAAAAGCUACUGCUUUUCUUACAUUUAGUAGUGCUAACCCUGGUGCUCAAUUACUUGAUCUUCUUUUGUUUUCGAAUAAUUUACCUUCUGAAUUGGUGGCACAAACUACUUUCCUUGAUCUUGCACAAGUGCAGAAGCUAAAGGCACGUUUUGGUGGAAGAGGGUAGGGAUAU
rnacentral:lncRNA from 1 species